AAGUCGUAACAAGGUUUCCGUAGGUGAACCUGCGGAAGGAUCAUUAUCAACGUUUCCACGUUAUACCAACCGUGAACCUGUUGUCUCCCUUUGUCGUUCGAGAUAGGAAGCAGACUGAUGUAUGGAUGCAGGUGGGGCCUUUCUUGUCAUGAGAUCGGCAUGAACCGCAUCAGUGUGUAUUAUAUAUUACGUCUCGUUCAGCAAGGGCUUAUGUCUUCUAUGGAACUCCUACAUCCUUGAGGGAAGUAGAGGACGAUGUUUAUUUUAUAAACCAUUUUCACCCAUUUUCCCAACAGUUGAUUUAUCAUGUGAGUCGUUAUGAAAAUAAUGAUUCCACGUUCUUAAUUGAACACAAUUACAACUCUUAGCAAUGGAUGUCUAGGUUCUC
rnacentral:misc_RNA from 1 species